rnacentral:rRNA from 1 species
GACGAACGCUGGCGGCGUGCUUAAUACAUGCAAGUCGAACGGAAAGGCCCUGCUUUUGUGGGGUGCUCGAGUGGCGAACGGGUGAGUAACACGUGAGUAACCUGCCCUUGACUUUGGGAUAACUUCAGGAAACUGGGGCUAAUACCGGAUAGGAGCUCCUGCUGCAUGGUGGGGGUUGGAAAGUUUCGGCGGUUGGGGAUGGACUCGCGGCUUAUCAGCUUGUUGGUGGGGUAGUGGCUUACCAAGGCUUUGACGGGUAGCCGGCCUGAGAGGGUGACCGGCCACAUUGGGACUGAGAUACGGCCCAGACUCCUACGGGAGGCAGCAGUGGGGAAUAUUGCACAAUGGGCGGAAGCCCGAUGCAGCAACGCCGCGUGCGGGAUGACGGCCUUCGGGUUGUAAACCGCUUUCGCCUGUGACGAAGCGUGAGUGACGGUAAUGGGUAAAGAAGCACCGGCUAACUACGUG